ACGAACGCUGGCGGCGUGCUUAACACAUGCAAGUCGAACGGGACUGAUGAAAGCUUGCUUUGAAAAGUCUAGUGGCAAACGGGUGAGUAACGCGUAGGCAACCUGCCUCUAAGAUGGGGACAACAGCCCGAAAGGGCUGCUAAUACCGAAUGCUGUAUCUUUACCGCAUGGUGGAGAUAUUAAAGAUGGCCUCUACUUGUAAGCUAUCACUUAGAGAUGGGCCUGCGUCUGAUUAGCUGGUUGGUGGGGUAACGGCUCACCAAGGCGACGAUCAGUAGCCGGUCUGAGAGGAUGAACGGCCACAUUGGGACUGAGACACGGCCCAGACUCCUACGGGAGGCAGCAGUGGGGAAUCUUCCGCAAUGGGCGAAAGCCUGACGGAGCAACGCCGCGUGAAGUGAAGAAGGUCUUCGGAUCGUAAAGCUCUGUCGAAGGGGACGAAUGUGGGUUCUAUCAACAACGGAACCUAAUGACGGUACCUUUCAAGAAAGCCACGGCUAACUACGUGCCAGCCGCUGC
rnacentral:rRNA from 1 species